CUUUACACAUGCAAGUCGAACGGCAGCAUGGAGAGCUUGCUCUCUGAUGGCGAGUGGCGAACGGGUGAGUAAUAUAUCGGAACGUGCCCAGUAAUGGGGAAUAACUAAUUGAAAGAUUAGCUAAUACCGCAUACGACCUACGGGUGAAAGCAGGGGAUCUUCGGACCUUGCGUUAUUGGAGCGGCCGAUAUCUGAUUAGCUAGUUGGUAGGGUAAAAGCCUACCAAGGCGACGAUCAGUAGCUGGUCUGAGAGGACGAUCGCCACACUGGAACUGAGACACGGUCCAGACUCCUACGGGAGGCAGCAGUGGGGAAUUUUGGACAAUGGGGGAAACCCUGAUCCAGCCAUCCCGCGUGAGUGAAGAAGGCCUUCGGGUUGUAAAGCUCUUUCGGAAGUGAAGAAAACUUAUUUCGUAAUAUGUUAUAAGAAUGACGGUAACUUUAGAAGAAGCACCGGCUAACUACGUGCCAGCAGCCGCGGUAAUACGUAGGGUGCGAGCGUUAAUCGGAAUUACUGGGCGUAAAGCGUGCGCAGGCGGUUUUGUAAGUCAGAUGUGAAAUCCCCGAGCUUAACUUGGGAACUGCGUUUGAAACUACAAGACUAGAGUGUGUCA
rnacentral:rRNA from 1 species